UGGUUGAAAAUUCCGAUGGUUAGAGAUGGGCAUGCGUUGUAUUAGCUAGUUGGUGGGGUAACGGCUCACCAAGGCGACGAUACAUAGGGGGACUGAGAGGUUAACCCCCCACACUGGUACUGAGACACGGACCAGACUCCUACGGGAGGCAGCAGUGAGGAAUAUUGGUCAAUGGACGCAAGUCUGAACCAGCCAUGCCGCGUGCAGGAUGACGGCUCUAUGAGUUGUAAACUGCUUUUGUACGAGGGUAAACGCAGAUACGUGUAUCUGUCUGAAAGUAUCGUACGAAUAAGGAUCGGCUAACUCCGUGCCAGCAGCCGCGGUAAUACGGAGGAUUCAAGCGUUAUCCGGAUUUAUUGGGUUUAAAGGGUGCGUAGGCGGUUUGAUAAGUUAGAGGUGAAAUUUCGGGGCUCAACCCUGAACGUGCCUCUAAUACUGUUGAGCUAGAGAGUAGUUGCGGUAGGCGGAAUGUAUGGUGUAGCGGUGAAAUGCUUAGAGAUCAUACAGAACACCGAUUGCGAAGGCAGCUUACCAAACUAUAUCUGACGUUGAGGCACGAAAGCGUGGGGAGCAAACAGGAUUAGAUACCCUGGUAGUCCACGCAGUAAACGAUGAUAACUCGUUGUCGGCGAUACACAGUCGGUGACUAAGCGAAAGCGAUAAGUUAUCCACCUGGGGAGUAC
rnacentral:rRNA from 1 species